rnacentral:rRNA from 1 species
GACGAACGCUGGCGGCGUGCUUAACACAUGCAAGUCGAGCGGUAAGGCCCUUUCGGGGGUACACGAGCGGCGAACGGGUGAGUAACACGUGGGUGACCUCGCCCUCCAGCGUCUGGGAUAAAGCCUGGGAAACUGGGUCUAAUACUGGAUAUGACUCCACGGUGCAUGUCGUGGGGUGGAAAGCCUUGUGCGGCUGAGGAUGGGCCCGCGGCCUAUCAGCUUGUUGGUGGGGNGAUGGCCUACCAAGGCGACGACGGGUAGCCGGCCUGAGAGGGCGACCGGCCACACUGGGACUGAGACACGGCCCAGACUCCUACGGGAGGGCAGCAGUGGGGAAUCUUGCGCAAUGGGCGAAAGCCUGACGCAGCGACGCCGCGUGAGGGAUGACGGCCUGGUGUAA